rnacentral:rRNA from 1 species
CCCGAAGUUUCCCUCAGGAUAGCUGAAACUCGAGAUAUACAAAACAUUUAAACAGUUUCAUCAGGUAAAGCGAAUGAUUAGAGGUCUUAGGGUUGAAACAAUCUUAACCUAUUCUCAAACUUUAAAUGGGUGAGAUGAGUAUGAGCUACUUAGUACAAGUUCAAUGACUCAGGGCUAGUCUAGCAAGCUAUCCUUGUUCCUUGGACUUGGUUUAGGCCUUAUGGUCUAAGCUAUGAGCUCUCUCUUUCAAUGGAUGAGUUUUUAGUGGGCCGUUUUUGGUAAGCAGAACUGGCGAUGCGGGAUGAACCGAAUGUUGAGUUAAAGUUCCUAAAUAUUCGCUCAUGUAGAUACCACAAAAGGUGUUGUCUCAUUUAGACAGCAGGACGGUGGCCAUGGAAGUCGGAAACCGCUAAGGACUGUGUAACAACUCACCUGCCGAAUGAGCCAGCCCUGAAAAUGGACGGAGCUCAAGCGAAUUACUUAUACUCGACCUUUAGAGAAAAGUUUUCAGGUAAGGCUCUAAAGUGUAGGGUGGCGUGGAGUUUGUAAAGAAGCUUCUGCCCGUGAGGGUAAGUGUAACAGACUCUAGUGCAGAU